AUUGAUUGAGCAAUCCCUUAUGUGAUAACUGCUAGAGAGCACUGCGAGGAUCAUCGUUAAAGGACGGAGAAAAAUGCAUCUCAGGAGAGACGAGGUGUCGAGCCAGGAUUGCAUGAGACCAUUGCGCAUCUUCCAUUGAAACCAGCUCAAGGUAGGCCCAUCUAUGUAAAAACGAGGCAAUGGUAAGACGUUUUGGGUCCGGUUUUACUUUCUCGUUGUAUGCUUUAUGAGUUAAUGCACUAUUAAACAAGGUUUUUGUCACAAAUAUGAUCUAGUCAUCUAGAGCGAUUUUCUGUCACAACAUACUAUUUUUGUAACUUGUGGAAAUUUCUUUUUCCUUUCUUGGUACUCAUUCUUUAUUAUUUAAAUUUGAUCCUAAACCUUUAUCUGAUACAUAAAUUUCUAGAUGUGUUGGUGCACUUCUUGCCUUUGCGGCGAGUUCUUAAAUUCAUCGUUUUGAAUUUUGAUCCAAAAUGUAUGAGCAGCCUUUGUUUCAAUUCAUUUACUUGCAGAUUGAUAGAUGAAAUAUUUCUAUGUUAUGAUAUGGAGAGUAACUUUUGUUUUUCAGUCGAGAGAUAACAAUGCUAUUUCACUUGAAGGUUGCUAACUUGCUGCUCAUCACU
rnacentral:lncRNA from 1 species